rnacentral:rRNA from 1 species
GAUCAUGGCUCAGAUUGAACGCUGGCGGCAGGCCUAACACAUGCAAGUCGAACGGUAACAGGAAGCAGCUUGCUGCUUUGCUGACGAGUGGCGGACGGGUGAGUAAUGUCUGGGAAACUGCCUGAUGGAGGGGGAUAACUACUGGAAACGGUGGCUAAUACCGCAUAACGUCGCAAGACCAAAGAGGGGGACCUUCGGGCCUCUUGCCAUCAGAUGUGCCCAGAUGGGAUUAGCUUGUUGGUGAGGUAACGGCUCACCAAGGCGACGAUCCCUAGCUGGUCUGAGAGGAUGACCAGCCACACUGGAACUGAGACACGGUCCAGACUCCUACGGGAGGCAGCAGUGGGGAAUAUUGCACAAUGGGCGCAAGCCUGAUGCAGCCAUGCCGCGUGUAUGAAGAAGGCCUUCGGGUUGUAAAGUACUUUCAGCGGGGAGGAAGGUGUUGUGGUUAAUAACCGCAGCAAUUGACGUUACCCGCAGAAGAAGCACCGGCUAACUCCGUGCCAGCAGCCGCGGUAAUACGGAGGGUGCAAGCGUUAAUCGGAAUUACUGGGCGUAAAGCGCACGCAGGCGGUCUGUCAAGUCGGAUGUGAAAUCCCCGGGCUCAACCUGGGAACUGCAUUCGAAACUGGCAGGCUUGAGUCUUGUAGAGGGGGGUAGAAUUCCAGGUGUAGCGGUGAAAUGCGUAGAGAUCUGGAGGAAUACCGGUGGCGAAGGCGGCCCCCUGGACAAAGACUGACGCUCAGGUGCGAAAGCGUGGGGAGCAAACAGGAUUAGAUACCCUGGUAGUCCACGCCGUAAACGAUGUCUACUUGGAGGUUGUGCCCUUGAGGCGUGGCUUCCGGAGCUAACGCGUUAAGUAGACCGCCUGGGGAGUACGGCCGCAAGGUUAAAACUCAAAUGAAUUGACGGGGGCCCGCACAAGCGGUGGAGCAUGUGGUUUAAUUCGAUGCAACGCGAAGAACCUUACCUGGUCUUGACAUCCACGGAAGAAUCCAGAGAUGGAUUUGUGCCUUCGGGAACCGUGAGACAGGUGCUGCAUGGCUGUCGUCAGCUCGUGUUGUGAAAUGUUGGGUUAAGUCCCGCAACGAGCGCAACCCUUAUCCUUUGUUGCCAGCGGUCCGGCCGGGAACUCAAAGGAGACUGCCAGUGAUAAACUGGAGGAAGGUGGGGAUGACGUCAAGUCAUCAUGGCCCUUACGACCAGGGCUACACACGUGCUACAAUGGCGCAUACAAAGAGAAGCGACCUCGCGAGAGCAAGCGGACCUCAUAAAGUGCGUCGUAGUCCGGAUUGGAGUCUGCAACUCGACUCCAUGAAGUCGGAAUCGCUAGUAAUCGUGGAUCAGAAUGCCACGGUGAAUACGUUCCCGGGCCUUGUACACACCGCCCGUCACACCAUGGGAGUGGGUUGCAAAAGAAGUAGGUAGCUUAACCUUCGGGAGGGCGCUUACCACUUUGUGAUUCAUGACUGGGGUGAAGUCGUAACAAGGUAACCGUAGGGGAACCUGCGGUUGGAUCACCUCCUUACCUGAAAGAAGC